rnacentral:rRNA from 1 species
GGGCCCGCACAAGCGGUGGAGUAUGUGGUUUAAUUCGAUGCAACGCGAAGAACCUUACCAGGGUUUGACAUCCUGCGAAUCUCUUGGAAACGAGAGAGUGCCUUCGGGAACGCAGUGACAGGUGGUGCAUGGCUGUCGUCAGCUCGUGUCGUGAGAUGUUGGGUUAAGUCCCGCAACGAGCGAAACCCUUGUCUCUAGUUGCCAGCGCGUAAUGGCGGGGACUCUAGAGAGACCGCCGGUGAUAAACCGGAGGAAGGUGUGGAUGACGUCAAGUCAUCAUGCCCCUUACAUCCUGGGCUACACACGUACUACAAUGCUACGGACAAAGAGCAGCAAGUUCGCGAGGACAAGCAAAUCUCAUAAACCGUGGCUCAGUUCAGAUCGUAGGCUGCAACUCGCCUACGUGAAGGAGGAAUCGCUAGUAAUCGCAGGUC